rnacentral:rRNA from 1 species
GACGAACGCUGGCGGCGCGCUUAACACAUGCAAGUCGAACGGAAAGGCCUGCUUUCCCUUGUGGAUUGCGGGUACUCGAGUGGCGAACGGGUGAGUAACACGUGAGUGAUCUGCCCCCAACUUGGGUAUAAGCCUGGGAAACUGGGUCUAAUUCCCGAUAGGACUGCAGGGUGGUGCCUGUGGUGGAAAACGAUUUUCUAGUGGUUGGGGAUGAGCUCGCGGCCUAUCAGCUUGUUGGUGGGGUAAUGGCCUACCAAGGCGGCGACGGGUAGCCGGCCUGGGAGGGUGGACGGCCACAUUGGGACUGGGAUACGGCCCAGACUCCUACGGGAGGCAGCAGUGGGGAAUAUUGCACAAUGGGCGGAAGCCUGGUGCAGCGACGCCGCGUGGGGGAUGACGGCCUUCGGGUUGUAAACUCCUUUCGACCGCGAGGAAGCCACCUGGUUGGAAGGGUGGUGACGGUAGUGGUAGAAGAAGCACCGGCUAACUACGUG